UAUGCGCAUGCGUGUUGCCCGCUUAGGGAAGCGGUUCUCCCAAUACUUCACUACACUCACUGGAAUGGCCAAAGUGAAGUUGUUGCGUCUUGUCCCCGGGAAUGAAGUCUUGGUUCUUAAACGUCAUGUCAAUGUGGUUAUACUUUUCCUUGGAGAAUGCAGUUUGGGAGAGCUACAGAGAAACUGUUGACAGGAGGGAUUUCUUACUUGGAAGAAGUGAAAAUGUUAAAAAGACUUGUCCUCUGCCAAGAAUACCAGCUCACUUUGGUACAUUAAAAAAAAUUAAACCUUUUUUUUCAGAUUAUCCCAAUCAAAGAAAGAAAGAUUGCUCCAAUAACUAGUUAUAAUAAAUAUUAAACAUGAA